CAGAGGAGCCAAUCAGCAUGUUGUAGCUCUCCCUGGGGCUGGGCUGGGCUGGGUGUUGGAGCGAUAGGACAGAGGCCAACGCAGUCCAAGGAGAGCGUGUUGAACUACCAGGAAGCCCUGAGACAACAGAGGAACAGGAAACCAAUGACUCAGAUUAGUGACAGACUGCAAUAUUUUGACGGGAAGAGAUCAGGCGAGAGCGAAGUCAGCACUUUUCCAAGAUCCAGGAAAGAAAGGAGCGAUAAAGACAGGAGAGGAGGAAGAGGGAUUGCUACGAUGCCAAGAUCGAGGCAGAAAUGAAGGUCUAUGACCCUUGGGGAAGGGGGAUGUGGGGCCCUUCUCAGAGAUGACAGGGGAAACCUCAUCAGUACACCAUUGUUGAUUUACUCCAUAGUCAUUAGUCCUCUUUAGUUACUCUCUCUGUUCACUUUAUAGUGACUGUAAAACCAAAAUGAUAACUUCUCUGAAUUUUACUAUGACACCUUUGGUUUCAGUCCCUUUGUUAAGUCUAAACCUCUGGGUUAUUUCUCUGUCAACAUCUCUGGCCCUGGUAUGAAGAGGCAUUGUAGCUGAAUCUGUGAGUCACCACUACGUUGAAAGUGUCUCUGUAGCUGAUGACGAUGCCUCCAGGUGAUCUGAACAGAAUGCACAGGACCAAGGAGGAGGAGUACGUGAACCCAGAGUCCAGGGACAGGUGACAGCCACAGGGCUCUGUAGGCAGGAGUGGAGGACCUAACCCCAGGCAGGAGGACUGGGUACCCUCUACCCAGCGAGUAACAGCUGUCCCAGUUUGCCGGAGGCAACGUGUUCAGUGAUCAGGACACUCCACAGCAGCUCCAGGAGCAGGACACGUUCAAGCAGAGAGCCAGAAGGAUCCUUCCCCUCCUAACCCAGACAUGCAGAAGAGACUGGGCAAGCAGCUCCUUACUCCCAGACCUCUCUCUGCUGUCAGCCAGCUCUCCUCUAGGCCCAGGCACUUGACUGUGUCGAACAUCCACAGGCCCAGGCGCUAUAGCUUUAUUCUGACUCCGCUUUCAUCCCUGGAACUAUACACUCACUGUCGGUGUACGGUUGUGAACUUAACAUGCAUAUUUUAUAGUGGUGACUGUGGCGUGUUUUGAGGUGUUGGAUCAUGUUCCAUACUGUUGUGCUGUGCCCAGGUGUAGAGGGCACCCCAAUGGGGACAUGUUUGAGAUGGCACACCACCCAACUCUGGAGUAGCUGCUGUGGCUGUUCACGUCAACAUGCAGAACACCAGGGAGUUCAACCAGCUCAAAUACAGAGUGUUACGUCCUCAGACGUAUGCAGGGUCCCCGUCCCAAGGGCCAGGGCAGCCCAGGUUGACCUGAGGUCCAGACAGCCCUCAGCCCGGGAGAGGAGAAGGCCUGCCAGAAGGAGAGACUUUGAGGAUGAGAAGGGCCUGUUGCUUCAGUUGAGUCAUCAUCACAUAAUUACAGUGCCACUUCAACAGUCCAUUAAUGUCCUCAAUCUGAGAAGGGCCAUGGGGAAACGUGUCUGAUAAUACACAACAGUCCCUCUUUUUUUAGGCAUUAGAAUGUCUUACAGGAUUUAUGAAAAACAAUGGCCAGUACACAUUUUCUCUGUAGUCUGUACUAACCCGUUCUGCUGUACUGACAGAUGUUUCCAUUCUGUGGCCCAGAACAUGGUGACUGCUGGUUGUCAGAGGGAUGACAAGGGCCAACCGGAUGCCUAGUCUCUGUUCUCUGUGACAAGCCUGCACGUGGAGGGGACCGCACGUACAGGCUUGUGAUAGAAUGACAAGGUUGGAUGGGGGCUGUCAGCCGAUGAAGGGGAUGACCUCUCACUGCGGUCCACCCCGUACUACCCGGUCAGGCGUGUGUCCAUGGAGACUGUUGGCACAGAGCGCUGGCUACGGCCCAGCACGUCAGACACGCUGAAAUUGUUUGGGGCUGGUCAGAACCGGACAGAAACCCGUUACCCACAUCCUGGAUGGGAAGUGGGAUGGGCCCUCCACCUAACAUGGAUGACCCCUUUCAUCUACACAUAGGAUCCCAUUCCCUUCACAGCUUAUUACUUUUGACUAGAGUUUGAGGUCUAUAUUUUAUAUGCAGUCGAUCCCCAAUACAAAUGACAAAAUUAACAUGGUCUAUUUCUGUGUCUGCAUCAGGAGAGCAAAAAACAUCCAUAUUUGUGUUUUUAUGCAGAAAAACACCUGAAUGUUGCUUAUGCAUGUGCGAAUUGUUUAAUCAGAAACCAGGGCAAACGUCAAAUGGAGAUGAGGUAGUAGCAGAGAUAUUUCAGUCUCUGUGUACAACAGCUCCACGUAGUGAGUAGGAUCAGGGCAGCGUCAGAGAGCGGGGAAAAUCUAAAUUGUAGACUUCUUGCGUCCUCUCUCUUUGCCUCCUUCAAAAGAGAAUGUUUGAGGGGCGGGACAUCUGGCUUUCUCAUCCAAUGGGUUUUGAGAAGGAGACAGGAUGUGAGGAGUGUGCAAUUGAGACGGUCCAAGUCUGCUUGGAUAAGUGUGCAGCUAGUACACAGUGAAGAAUUACUGUCCCUGAGCUGCAUCACUCUCACUGCUGUGUGAUAUGGCUACAGCUGCAGGACUACGGUAUGGAAGAAGUAUAGGCUCUGGUCUGCUGAUGGAAGUAACUAUGGUAACCUUUUGACUGGUUUGGUCUGCUGGUGUAAGCAACUAUGGUAACCUUUUGAAUGUACUUUUGCAGAAUUAAUAUGUAUUUAAAACAUGCGAAAUGUGUAUCUGGUGUUGAAAUGUUUGUAUGUAGCAAGAAAAUGUGUGUUAAUAUACAGUAUAGAAAGAUUUGGGGUAAAAAAUAAAUAAUGUUUUUAUAAUCUU
ensembl:lncRNA